AACUUCUAAUAUCCAGAAUAGCCCGGAAAUAUAAGGUGCGUAAUUCUUAUUGGCUAUAUUUACAGGAACAACAAUCGAAAGUUUUAAUAUGAUUGGAUAAUACAUUCGCCAACUAUUAAAAAUCAGAACAGUAGUUUAGUUCAUAUUUUACAGUUAUUAUUAGUUCUCCUGAAUGCCCGUCUAAAUUGCCAUUUCUUUUAUUGGUCUUGAUAACUGUCAAUUAGUUAUAGCCGUUUUUGCAGGUCAAAUGAACCACUGUGUUAAUCUUAAUCAAUAAUAGCUCGUAGAGAGCAUAAUGGGUGGAGUGUGUAGCUGUUUGACGUAACGAGGCUGGUUUGCGUAGUAGUACGGCGGCUGUGUGAGAUAAAAAAAAUCUUAGGGAAGCAGAAUAGAGUACCAGAAAACGGCGUUUUAGUAUUGCGAUUUUUUUGAGACCAUCCUUUAUACUUUCCAGUUUUGGAUUUAUGUUUUCAAGUCACUGUUGAUCUCUAUAGAUAUGAGGCACCAUUUAGCAAGAUAAGUGUCUGAAGAAUGGCUCAGUUUCCAGCACCUUUUGUUGGGGGCCUGGAUAUCUGGGCCAUAACACCAGAAGAGCAAGCAAAGUAUGACCAGCAGUUUGUAAGCUUAAAGCCUGUAGGUGGAUUCAUCACUGGUAAGAUAC